rnacentral:SRP_RNA from 2 species
GCAGGGUGUGGUGGCUCAUACCUGUAAUCCUAGCACUUUGGGAGGCUGAGGUGGGAGGAUCACUUGAGCCCAGGAGUUUGAGACUAGCCUGGGCAAUAUAGUGAGACCCCACCUUUA